rnacentral:rRNA from 1 species
UUUGACGUUAGNGACCAGAAGAAAGCACCGGCUAACUCCGUGCCAGCAGCCGCGGUAAUACGGAGGGUGCGAGCGUUAAUCGGAAUUACUGGGCGUAAAGCGCAUGCAGGUGGUUUGUUAAGUUCAGAUGUGAAAGACCCGGGGCGUCAACCUCGGAAUUGCAUUUGUAAACUAGGCAGACUAGAGUACUGUAGAGGGGGGUAGGAAUUUCAGGUGUAGCGGUGAAAUAGCGUAGAGAUCUGAAGGAAUACCGGUGGCGAAGGCGGCCCCCUCGGACAGAUACUGACACUCAGAUGCGAAAGCGUGGGGAGCAAACAGGAUUAGAUACCCUGGUAG